GCGGGCGGCGGGCGGGUGUGACGGCCCGUGUGCGGCGCGCUGCCUGCCCAAGCCUCCGGUGCCCGCUACACCUGCCGCCCACCAGGUCCCACCUAUUUCUUCUUGAUCUCCACAGCCUGUAGGGCAAAAUAGCGAGCGCGAGGAUGCUUUCCUUCGUCUGCCUUAUUGGCCCAAGGCUCGAGCCAUCUGGUGCCAGUGAUGAUGGUGAAAAUACCAAAACCUCGGGGUUGGAAGGUGCCUUGGGUCAUAGAAGCCUCCUCCCGCUCAAGAAUCUGAGAGCAAAGGUUGAGAUGAUGAGAACAAUUUGUAAAGAUUGUAGCUCUAUAGCUGAAGAUCUCUGACAAGACACUUUCAUGAGAAGGAUAAGAAGGAAUUUCAGGCAACAAAACACGUGCUGUCUUCUACAGAAAGCAGGUAACUCGAACCAAAUCUGCACUGCCACUCUUGAUCCUUCAGGCCCAAAUCUUAUUCUUCGAGUCAUUUGCAAGAGGGAAGAGACUGGAACCUGCCACAAAAGACCUAAGGCCCCUAAAGUCCCUCCCCAAGAAAUUCUUAAUCCAGCUAUAAUUAAUUAAUACAUUAUUACUCUUUAUGAAUUAAGCACCCAUUGAUUUAAGUGAUAAAUAAACAUUAAGUUAUGUACUCUCCUUUCA
rnacentral:lncRNA from 1 species